GAGUUUGAUCAUGGCUCAGAACGAACGCUGGCGGCAGGCCUAACACAUGCAAGUCGAGCGCACCUUCGGGUGAGCGGCGGACGGGUUAGUAACGCGUGGGAAUAUACCCAAAGGUACGGAAUAGCCUCGGGAAACUGAGAGUAAUACCGUAUGUGCCCUUCGGGGGAAAGAUUUAUCGCCUUUGGAUUAGCCCGCGUAAGAUUAGAUAGUUGGUGGGGUAAUGGCCUACCAAGUCUACGAUCUUUAGCUGGUUUGAGAGGAUGAUCAGCAACACUGGGACUGAGACACGGCCCAGACUCCUACGGGAGGCAGCAGUGGGGAAUCUUAGACAAUGGGCGAAAGCCUGAUCUAGCCAUGCCGCGUGAGUGACGAAGGCCUUAGGGUCGAAAG
rnacentral:rRNA from 1 species